CAUAUCUCUUAUUUUUGUUUUCAUUUUUCCCGAGUCUUGUGAUACUAUGUAUGCUAGUCAUGAGGGUCUGAUUUAAGAGUUUGCUCGUGUCAGAUUGCAAAAGAACGUGAGGAUGAGCAGAUAGAUAGAGCAUUAUUGAAGAAUGUUCUUGAUAUCUUUGCUGAAAUUGGAAGGGAGGAUUAUGUGAAUGACUUUCGAGAUGCUUUGCUUAGAGAUACUGCAGCUUAUUAUUCUCGGAAAGCUUCAAGUUGGAUUGUGGAAGAUUCUUAUUCGGACUAUAUGUUGAAGGUGGAAGAGUGCUUGAAGAAAGAGAAGGAUAGAGUGUCUCAUUAUCUCCACGUUAUUACCGAGAAAAAACUUCUGGAGAAAGUGAAACACGAAUUGUUGGUUGUGUAUACCGAUCAGUUACUUGAGAAGGAGCAUUCUGAAUCCCAUGCUUUGCUCAGAGAUGAUAAGGCUGAAAGCUCGAGAUCGGUGUGUGGGGAUGAUACCAUAAUGUGACUGUCAUCCUCUCUCUCAGCACUGCCCUAUGAAGGACGGAUCGAUGUUUCAUGUUGUGUUAUAUUAUAUGUUUGCAAUAACAACGUUUCGCGUUUAGAAGCAAAUAUUUCUCUAUAACAAUAUUUCGCUAUUUUUCAUGUCUCUAUAAAUGGAUGUGUAAUGUGGAUGUCUGCACUUAUUCCCUUGUUAAAUGCUUCAA